UCGAGACGAAGAAGAAAUCCAGGGAUCCAGGGAAGAAAGCCGACCGCUAUUGCAAGUAAGCCUGGGCAGCUUAGCUAGUUCUGCCACAUCGAAGACUUUGGAUCCAGAUGGCCACGACUCCUUGUUUAGAUUGCCCCGGGAAUUCAAGCAGCUUCCAUCGUCUGGAUCGACCAAGAUUCGACGAUCUAAGAGGCAGGUAGUGGGAGCGUCAGCUUGGCCGUGAGAAGAUUAGCACAGCACAGGAACGCUACUGCUGUCGCUACUUUCCUUCACACAACUCCGGCUAUCGAGUUCUUCCCAGUUUGCUUGAUUGUCUUGCGGUGAGAGGAGGGAGAAAGAGAAGCAGCAGCAGCAACAUAUCGAGUCGCUCAACAACAACAAAUAUCAAGGAUGGAGCUGUUCUCAUUCCGAUGCUUCUUCCAGAAAGGGCAGGAAGGUGGCGAGUGAGGCUGAAGAACUCCACGUUAGUGAUGAUCCUUGGCCGGAUAAGUUGAAGAGGAAGGCCCAACCAGAAACUCGCUUUCGGAACCCGAGGGCUAGUUUCCUUGACACCACAAGAGAUGAUAGCGUCUUAAGUCUGAAGAGCUUUCUGCAGAAGCAAAUGGCUCGACUUUUAGAUCGCUCUGUUCCAGAGCGUUCCCAGCGAGAAGAGCGCCAGCAUUUCCAGAACAGCUCAGAGAGAGCUCAUCAAGCAAAAGCAAACACCACCGACCAAAAAAGCCUAAGUAGCUGCUUAUAACUUCCGUCGGAGUUUUCAGGCAACUUGCUGGCCAUUGGGAAAAGAAGAAGAAGCAUUUUAUGGUCGCAAUGGCUGAUAAUGUGAAGCUCUCAUCUUGUGUCUUCUACUGAUAUGGGAAUUCCGGAUCUAUGCGUCUGAGCCAACUGUAAGAAACCCACUUUAAAGUUUUUGCUUGAAAUUGAGAGGAAACCUUUAUGUCACAAUGUCAUUGUGGCAC